rnacentral:tRNA from 1 species
GCCCGGGUGGCGGAAUGGCAGACGCUCAGGAUUUAAAAUCCUGUGGCCUGAAAGGGUCGUGUGGGUUCGAGUCCCAUCCCGGGCA